rnacentral:rRNA from 2 species
CCAGUGUGACUCGUCACACUAUCAUUAACUGAAUCCAUAGGUUAAUGAGGCGAACCGGGGGAACUGAAACAUCUAAGUACCCCGAGGAAAAGAAAUCAACCGAGAUUCCCCCAGUAGCGGCGAGCGAACGGGGAGGAGCCCAGAGCCUGAAUCAGCAUGUGUGUUAGUGGAAGCGUCUGGAAAGGCGCGCGAUACAGGGUGACAGCCCCGUACACAAAAGCGCAUGUGCUGUGAGCUCGAUGAGUAGGGCGGGACACGUGGUAUCCUGUCUGAAUAUGGGGGGACCAUCCUCCAAGGCUAAAUACUCCUGACUGACCGAUAGUGAACCAGUACCGUGAGGGAAAGGCGAAAAGAACCCCGGCGAGGGGAGUGAAAAAGAACCUGAAACCGU